GGGCUUAUCGUCUAACAGGAAGAUGCUGGUCUUGCAAACCGGCGAUCCGGGUGCAACUCCCGGUAGGUCCA
rnacentral:tRNA from 1 species